rnacentral:lncRNA from 1 species
CGUGUUUCCCCCUCUUUCAACGGGGCUCCUGUUUCCUGCAUUCGGAGUCUUUCACCAUAACUACUAAUUCUAUGGUCCUCGGUCAUCUUAAUCAGCUUCCCAUCAACACUUCCACAAUUAAAUCAUACUCCGUUUAAAACAGGGAAAGGCAGUUUAAAACAGGGAAAGGCAGGUUUACUUUUAUCCUAAUGGAAAGACGAAUUGAUGAAAACAUACUUCAUAACACAAGCUGAAUCUCCAAGAUUUGCACAUUGCACAAAGAAAUUGUCACCACCGUCAGUCCAAACCAGAAG